rnacentral:rRNA from 1 species
GUUGUAUAGUCAAGUAAUUAAGUGCAUGUGGUGGAUGCCUUGGCAGUCAGAGGCGAUGAAAGACGUGAUAGCCUGCGAAAAGCUCCGGGGAGGCGGCAAAUAUCCUUUGAUCCGGAGAUGUCUGAAUGGGGGAACCCACCUACUUUAAGGUAGGUAUUGCAACAUGAAUACAUAGUGUUGCAAGGCGAACGAGGGGAAGUGAAACAUCUCAGUACCCUUAGGAAAAGAAAUCAAUUGAGAUUCCCUCAGUAGCGGCGAGCGAACGGGGAUCAGCCCAUUAAGUUAUGUGUGUUUUAGUGGAACGCUCUGGGAAGUGCGAACGUAGAGGGUGAUAUUCCCGUACACGAAAGGGCACACAUAAUGAUGACGAGUAGGGCGAGGCACGUGAAACCUUGUCUGAAUAUGGGGGGACCAUCCUCCAAGGCUAAAUACUCCUGACUGACCGAUAGUGAACCAGUACCGUGAGGGAAAGGCGAAAAGAACCCCUGUGAGGGGAGUGAAAUAGAUCCUGAAACCGCAUGCAUACAAGCAGUGGGAGCACCUUCGUGGUGUGACUGCGUACCUUUUGUAUAAUGGGUCAGCGACUUAUAUUCAGUAGCAAGGUUAACCGUAUAGGGGAGCCGUAGAGAAAUCGAGUCUUAAUAGGGCGUUUAGUUGCUGGGUAUAGACCCGAAACCAGGCGAUCUAUCCAUGAGCAGGUUGAAGGUUGGGUAACACUAACUGGAGGACCGAACCCACUGUCGUUGAAAAGCCAGGGGAUGACUUGUGGAUAGGGGUGAAAGGCUAAUCAAGCCUGGUGAUAGCUGGUUCUCCCCGAAAGCUAUUUAGGUAGCGCCUCGGACGAAUACCAUAGGGGGUAGAGCACUGUUUCGGCUAGGGGGUCAUCCCGACUUACCAAACCGAUGCAAACUCCGAAUACCUAUGAGUACUAUCCGGGAGACAGACUGCGGGUGCUAACGUCCGUAGUCAAGAGGAAAACAAUCCAGACCGCCAGCUAAGGCCCCAAAAUCAUAGUUAAGUGGGAAACGAUGUGGGAAGGCAUAGACAGCUAGGAGGUUGGCUUAGAAGCAGCCACCCUUUAAAGAAAGCGUAAUAGCUCACUAGUCGAGUCGGCCUGCGCGGAAGAUGUAACGGGGCUAAAACUAUGUGCCGAAGCUGCGGAUNNNNNNNNNNNNNNNNNNNNNNNNNNNNNNNNNNNNNNNNNNNNNNNNNNNNNNNNNNNAUGCUGGAGGUAUCAGAAGUGCGAAUGCUGACGUGAGUAACGACAAAACGGGUGAAAAACCCGUUCGCCGAAAGACCAAGGGUUCCAGUCCAACGUUAAUCGGGGCUGGGUGAGUCGACCCCUAAGGCGAGGCCGAAAGGCGUAGUCGAUGGGAAAAUGGUUAAUAUUCCAUUACUUCUGUGUAAUGCGAUGAGAGGACGGAGAAGGCUAAAUCAGCCUGGCGUUGGUUGUCCAGGUGAAAGGAUGUAGGCAUGUAUCUUAGGCAAAUCCGGGGUACUCUAUGCUGAGAUCUGAUAGCAAGCUGUACUUGUACAGCGAAGUGGUUGAUGCCAUGCUUCCAGGAAAAGUCUCUAAGCUUCAGUUACACAGGAAUCGUACCCGAAACCGACACAGGUGGUCAGGUCGAGUAGACCAAGGCGCUUGAGAGAACUCUGCUGAAGGAACUAGGCAAAAUGGUACCGUAACUUCGGGAGAAGGUACGCUGUUGUUGGUGAUGGAACUCGCUUCCUGAGCUGACGACAGCCGCAGAAACCAGGCCGCUGCAACUGUUUAUUAAAAACAUAGCACUCUGCAAACACGAAAGUGGACGUAUAGGGUGUGAUGCCUGCCCGGUGCUGGAAGGUUAAUUGAUGGGGUUAGCGUAAGCGAAGCUCUUGAUCGAAGCCCCAGUAAACGGCGGCCGUAACUAUAACGGUCCUAAGGUAGCGAAAUUCCUUGUCGGGUAAGUUCCGACCUGCACGAAUGGCAUAAUGAUGGCGGCGCUGUCUCCAGCAGAGGCUCAGUGAAAUCGAAAUCGCUGUGAAGAUGCAGUGUACCCGCGGCUAGACGGAAAGACCCCGUGAACCUUUACUGCAGCUUGACACUGAACUUUGACCUUACUUGUGUAGGAUAGGUGGGAGGCUUUGAAGCUGGAACGCUAGUUCCAGUGGAGCCGUCCUUGAAAUACCACCCUGGUAAUGUUGAGGUUCUAACUCUGUCCCGUGAUCCGGGACGAGGACCGUGUCUGGUGGGUAGUUUGACUGGGGCGGUCUCCUCCUAAAGAGUAACGGAGGAGUACGAAGGUGCGCUCAGCGUGGUCGGAAAUCACGCGUAGAGUAUAAAGGCAAAAGCGCGCUUAACUGCGAGACCCACAAGUCGAGCAGGUACGAAAGUAGGUCUUAGUGAUCCGGUGGUUCUGUAUGGAAGGGCCAUCGCUCAACGGAUAAAAGGUACUCUGGGGAUAACAGGCUGAUACCGCCCAAGAGUUCAUAUCGACGGCGGUGUUUGGCACCUCGAUGUCGGCUCAUCUCAUCCUGGGGCUGAAGCAGGUCCCAAGGGUAUGGCUGUUCGCCAUUUAAAGAGGUACGCGAGCUGGGUUUAGAACGUCGUGAGACAGUUCGGUCCCUAUCUACCGUGGGCGCUGGAAAUUUGAGAGGAUCUGCUCCUAGUACGAGAGGACCAGAGUGGACGAACCUCUGGUGUACCGGUUGUGACGCCAGUCGCAUCGCCGGGUAGCUAUGUUCGGAAGGGAUAACCGCUGAAAGCAUCUAAGCGGGAAGCCUACCUCAAGAUAAGAUUUCCCUAGGACUUUAUGUCCUCUAAAGAGCCGUUCGAGACUAGGACGUUGAUAGGUUGGAUGUGGAAGCAUAGUGAUAUGUGAAGCUGACCAAUACUAAUUGCUCGUGAGGCUUGACUAUACAACACCCAAGCAGUUG